GGCGGGGCGGGGGUCAGGUCCCACCCUUCCUACCGUCCAGACCCAGGAAUCCAGUGUUUCCACAUCAUGCAUCACUCUCCUGAAAGGGGCCCCUGAAAGGGAACCAACUGGAAGGAAGCCUAAGUCCUGAGCCCCGGAGAGGGAGAGGCUCCUGUGGAUGCCUCCCACGCCCUAGCGUCUAGCUUCCCCACCCCUGCUUCCCCCCCGCUCUUCCUGCCCCAGUCUCUUUUGUGUCCCUGACUUUCCACCCGCGCUUCCCACUUCUCUCCCAUCAUUGUUGCUGACUCACCCCUCCAGAUUCGGGUCCCUUCUCCCUCCUGGGGAGUGGUCUCCCCGAGCCCACUUCUGUGGGACCUUGUAGACGCGGUGCAAGCUUAUCACCCUUAGAACCCGGGAAGAGUGAGAAACGACGGAAGUGCCUCCAGGGAGCUCCGGCCAUCAGAGUAACCCUCCCAUUCAUCUCCUGUCUCAGAGCCCCCUGGGAGAGGCAGAUGCUGCUCCUUAGAACGACAAAGUAGUCUUGACCUUUUGGAGCUCGGGAGAAGAGACUGGAAGAACUUGGACAUGAGGUCUGGAGCUCUGGCAGCCAUCUUGGACUAUGAGGCAAUCUUGAGAAUGGAAGCAGAGAAGAGAAGGCAUCUGGGUUCCUGGUGACUGUAGAACUGUCCUAGUGGCCCAGGACUUCGGAUCACUAGACUUUUCUGUGACACAAUUAACUUUCUGCCUUGCUUAAAUGCUUGUUAUUCUGGGGUGGUUGUUAAGUGCAGCCUUGGGACGGGACAAAGCAGGGAGGAGGAGCUGCUGGUAGGUUGGGGCUCACC